GAUGAACGCUAGCUACAGGCUUAACACAUGCAAGUCGAGGGACCGGCGCGCGGGUGAGUAACACGUAUACAACCGACCCUUUACUCGAGGUUAGCCUAUCGAAAGAAAGAAUAAUACCAGCUAUAAAGGAUGGGGUGUCGUUCCAUUAGGUUGUUGGUGAGGUAACGGCUCACCAAGCCUUCGAUGGAUAGGGGUUCUGAGAGGAAGGUACCCCACAUUGGAACUGAGACACGGUCCAAACUCCUACGUGAGGCAGCAGUGAGGAAUAUUGGUCAAUGUGCGGUAGCCUGAACCAGCCAAGUAGAGUGAAGGAUGAAGGCUUAUGGGUCGUAAACUUCUUUUAUAUAAGAAUAUGUAUUAUAUGAAUAAGGAUCGGCUAACUCCGUGCCAGCAGCCGCGGUAAUUC
rnacentral:rRNA from 1 species